rnacentral:tRNA from 1 species
UGGCUCAGUAGGUAGAGCAUGGUGUUUGCAACACCAGGGUUGUGGGUUCAAUUCCCAC